UUGAUUUAAGGCACUCAAAGUCAAAGUCAAGCUUUUUAUCGUUAUUGUAUUAUAAUUCAAAUUCAAAAUAUGGUCUCUUUCGGUCUCAUAAGGGUCGAAUAUUAAUAAAUAUUAAAGUUAUGGGAUUCCUUUCUCACCCAAUGAAUAAAUUUUGAAUUAAAAUAAAAUACAAACGACUGAAAAAGAUUUGAUGAUAAUUCCAAAAAAGGCUACACCUAUAUAAAAGUGACACCUAAAAAGGACGUUAUUCAUUUUGUCAGUUUAAAUCUCA
rnacentral:lncRNA from 1 species